rnacentral:rRNA from 1 species
GACGAACGCUGGCGGCGUGCUUAACACAUGCAAGUCGAACGGAAAGGCCCUGCUUGCAGGGUACUCGAGUGGCGAACGGGUGAGUAACACGUGGGUGAUCUGCCCUGCACUUCGGGAUAAGCCUGGGAAACUGGGUCUAAUACCGGAUAGGAGCCAUUUUUAGUGUGAUGGUUGGAAAGUUUUUUCGGUGUAGGAUGAGCUCGCGGCCUAUCAGCUUGUUGGUGGGGUAAUGGCCUACCAAGGCGGCGACGGGUAGCCGGCCUGAGAGGGUGGACGGCCACAUUGGGACUGAGAUACGGCCCAGACUCCUACGGGAGGCAGCAGUGGGGAAUAUUGCACAAUGGGCGCAAGCCUGAUGCAGCGACGCCGCGUGGGGGAUGACGGCCUUCGGGUUGUAAACUCCUUUCGCUAGGGACGAAGCUUUUUGUGACGGUACCAAGAUAAGAAGCACCGGCUAACUACGUG